GCCGGGUAUGGUGGCGCAUACCUGUAGUCCUAGCUACUCAGGAGGCUGAGAUGGAAGGAUCUCUUGAGCCCAGGAGGCAGAGGUUGCAGUGAGCAGAGAUCUCACCACUGCACCCCAGCCUGGGCAACAGAGUAAGACCCUGUCUCAA
rnacentral:SRP_RNA from 1 species